UUUGGUUUGAGCUGAGGUGAGAGCUGUGGAUUUGCGGAAGCUCAGCUCAGGUUCUGAUGAACCUGGCUCUGAUACCAUAUGAGAUUUGAGAGCUCUGGCUGUGUAUGUGUAUGAGAAGCCAUUAGAGGCAGAGAAUAAGGUCUUGAACUAGUUGAAUAAGAGGUCUGAUGAAACUAGUAUGAACUUGAAUCAGAAACAAAGAGACUUAGAGAGAUU
rnacentral:lncRNA from 1 species